CUGUGGUGUAGAGGUAGUAUGUUGGGCUCACAACUCAAAGGUCCCUGGAUCAAAACCAG
rnacentral:tRNA from 1 species